GCCACUGUCGUGUCGUCAGCAGUCGAGGGUGAACAGGGAGUACAGGAAGGGACUAAGUUACAGUCUUAUUCCACAGACACAAGAACAGUUUAAUGUUAAGUGCUACUGAAAAUGCUAACAGUAAAACAAUAUGGCUCAUAAUUGUUGAAAGGAAACAACAUUUCCUGAAUCGUCUACAGUCAAGGAAGGUGGAAAAUCAUGUUAGUUUGUAUUCUGAGUAAAGUAUCCCUUUAAAUAUGGUAUAGUGUCUGUUUAGAACAAGAAGACUUACCCUCAGAUGGACAAAGUGGAUUGAAGUUGUUGUUGCUAAGCAUCCAUCUUUCUGCUUGCAAAUUGCUUUGGAUUACCCUGCAGUAUGUUCAGCAUGAACCUGCUGUCCGUCACCAGUACAAGAACAUGAACGAGGGUGAACAAGCAACACUUCAGCUUCAGUUGUCUGGAGCUUGGGGUUUUUGUGGCCACGGCACUUCCACUCAGAUGGACCCAGGUUUCAGCAGCUGUGCAACGUUGACGUCCUUCCUCCUAGAGAUGUGCAAGCAUCCCCUGGACUGGACACAACCAGGCAAAAACUUUUUUAAGAAGAUCAGAUGCCAUGAAAAGGCCAUGGACAUUAUAUGUCCUGCUCUAAAGGGCAGGACAGACAUAUAUUCUCAGGGUAGAUUCCUUUGUAACAUCAUAUCAUAACAUUACCUGAACCAAAGUCACUCAAAGGAUCUCGUUUUAAAAGCCUAUGUCUAGAUAUUUUUUUUACCUUCAUGUGUUGUGUGUUUCAAUUAUUUCCUAAAUUUAGGUUACUACCUUCAGCACUUAAAGUUAAUGAACUAUUUUAAUAUUGUAAUUUUUUUAAAGCUAUACAUCACUGAUUUAGCACAUGGCCACAGUCAUAUCUUCACGUGUGAAUUCUUUAAGAGAUGGGUGGGUCUAAGGCUUAAGAGGGUAUGAACGAUACCAAAUGGGCAUAAACAUAGCUGUUAAAGGUUAUCUUUAUUAUAGAACAGUAGUCAAGUUAAUACUGUUAAUGGUUUGCCUAAUGAGGGAACUUUGUGAGAUAAUGUUGAGAGAAUCCAUUUUGGACACAUGGUGAAAGUAUUCUUUUUCUAAAUAUGUUUCAUAAGGAUUAAUGUAGAGCAGUGGUUCUCAAUCCUGGUCCUGGGGACCCAAAGGGGUGCACAUUUUUGUUUUUGCCCUAGCACUACACACCUGAUUCAAAUCAGCAAAGCCUUUUGAUGAGUUGAUCAUUUGAAUCAGCUGUGUAGUGCUAGGGCAAAAACGUGCACCCUUUUGGGUCCCCAGGACCAGGGUUGAGAACCAGUGAUGUAGAGCAAGUGUGAAAAUCACAGAAAAAUGGUUCCUUCAGGAACUAUAGGGGUUCCCAGAAUCACCCCUAAUUCUAAGUGUAGCCUUAAGCUCAGUGUGGAUAUUACCUGUGUCAUGACUCUCUCUCCUUGGUGAGGAUCAAAGGUGCCAGAUCAGCUUGACACAUGUUUGAAGAUCCCUCUUUCCCACAGAAGAGUGUGCCGGUCUUGAUAUCUUAACACUGGGUUGUAAAUUUAAGCCACAUGGUACUUUCCCACUCUGCCUUUCAGUAUCCACCAAAGGAAUGCUUUGUCUAGAGUGUGGCCCGCCUAAAAACUCUGUAAAAUGAUUGGACAUUGAAACAGUAUUUCUAACAUAAAGAAUGUUGGGAAUGGUGAGAGAUGGAAUAUGGAAAAAUGAAUCUCUAUUUUGUGAUGUCAUUAAAAUGAUCAGAAAGACGUUAUAAUGGAAACAUUAACUUUAAAAGCUUUCGCACUGUAUAUAUCAGAUUUACAUAUAAAUGUUGUAAAAGUUCUGAUUAAAUAUUAAACUCUUUUUGAAAA